rnacentral:rRNA from 1 species
GUAGGUGGCAGAGUAUGUCAGUAGUGAAAGCGUGUGGCUCAACCAUAUAUACAUUACUGAAACUGCUCAGCUAGAGAACGAGAGAGGUUAUUGGAAUUCCUAGUGUAGGAGUGAUAUCCGUAGAUAUUAGGAGGAACACCGAUGGCGUAGGCAGAUAACUGGCUCGUUUCUGACACUAAGGCACGAAAGCGUGGGUAGCAAACGGGAUUAGAUACCCCGGUAGUCCACGCUGUAAACGAUGGAUGCUAGCUGUGAGAGGUAUCGACCCCUCUCGUAGCGAAGCUAACGCGUUAAGCAUCCCGCCUGUGGAGUACGGUCGCAGGACUAAAACAUAAAGGAAUUGACGGGGACCCGCACAAGCGGUGGAGCGUGUUGUUUAAUUCGAUGGUAAACGAAGAACCUUACCCAGGCUUGACAUCCUGCGAAUUUCUCCGAAAGGAGAGAGUGCAUUAUUGAGCGCAGUGACAGGUGUUGCAUGGCCGUCGUCAGCUCGUGUCGUGAGAUGUUUGGUUAAGUCCAUCAACGAGCGCAACCCUUAUAGUCUGUUGUAUUUUUCAGGCUAGACUGCCCCGGUAACGGGGAGGAAGGAGGGGAUGAUGUCAGGUCAGUAUUACCCUUACGUCUGGGGCUACAAACACGCUACAAUGGCCGGUACAAAGGGCUGCCAAGUCGCAAGACGGAGCAAAUCCCAUCAAAGCCGGUCUCAGUUCGGAUUGCAGGCUGAAACUCGCCUGCAUGAAGUCGGAAUCGCUAGUAACGGUAGGUCAGCUAUACUACCGUGAAUACGUUCCCGGGUCUUGUACACACCGCCCGUCAAACCAUGAAAGUCACCAAUACCUGACGUGUUGCCUUCGCGCAGCCCUAAGGUAGGGGGGAUGAUUGGGGUU